ensembl:lncRNA
GUGGGGGAGUAGGACAAGGCUAGAGGAAUGAGGUGGGGGAGUAGCACAAGGCUAAAGGAAUGAGGUGGGGGAGUAGGACAAGGCUAGAGGAAUGAGGUGGGGGAGUAGAACAACGCUAGAGGAAUGAGGUGGGGGAGUAGGACAAGGCUAGAGGAAUGAGGUGGGGGAGUAGAACAACGCUAGAGGAAUGAGGUGGGAGAGUAGGACAAUGCUAGAGGAAUGAGGUGGGGGAGUAGGACAAGGCUAAAGGGAUGAGGUGGUGGAGUAGGAAAAGGCUAAAGGGAUGAGGUGGGGUUAGUAGGACAAGGCUAAAGGAAUGAGGUGGGGGAGUAGGGCAAGGCUAAAGGGAUGAGGUGGGACAGUAGGGCAAGGCUAAAGGGAUGAGGUGGGGGAGUAGGGCAAGACUAAAGGGAUGAGGUGGAGGAGUCAGUGCGACAGGUUUAAUCCCCUCCUCUAUCUCCAUCCACAACACCCUAGCAAGCUGCAAGCCUACUAGAUGGUAAUAGGCACUCAAGUUGCCCCUAGGGGACGGUCUUGAAGGCAUCUCCCGACAUCCUACGGACCUGGGCAAACGUUGAA